AGAGUUUGAUCCUGGCUCAGGAUGAACGCUAGCGACAGGCUUAACACAUGCAAGUCGAGGGGCAGCGGGGGUAGCAAUACCCGCCGGCGACCGGCGCACGGGUGAGUAACGCGUAUGCAACUUACCUAUCAGAGGGGGAUAACCCGGCGAAAGUCGGACUAAUACCGCAUGAAGCAGGGGCCCCGCAUGGGGAUAUUUGCUAAAGAUUCAUCGCUGAUAGAUAGGCAUGCGUUCCAUUAGGCAGUUGGCGGGGUAACGGCCCACCAAACCGACGAUGGAUAGGGGUUCUGAGAGGAAGGUCCCCCACAUUGGUACUGAGACACGGACCAAACUCCUACGGGAGGCAGCAGUGAGGAAUAUUGGUCAAUGGGCGUAAGCCUGAACCAGCCAAGUCGCGUGAGGGAUGAAGGUUCUAUGGAUCGUAAACCUCUUUUAUAAGGGAAUAAAGUGCGGGACGUGUCCCGUUUUGUAUGUACCUUAUGAAUAAGGAUCGGCUAACUCCGUGCCAGCAGCCGCGGUAAUACGGAGGAUCCGAGCGUUAUCCGGAUUUAUUGGGUUUAAAGGGUGCGUAGGCGGCCUUUUAAGUCAGCGGUGAAAGUCUGUGGCUCAACCAUAGAAUUGCCGUUGAAACUGGGGGGCUUGAGUAUGUUUGAGGCAGGCGGAAUGCGUGGUGUAGCGGNNNNNNNNNNUUGAAACUGGGGGGCUUGAGUAUGUUUGAGGCAGGCGGAAUGCGUGGUGUAGCGGUGAAAUGCUUAGAUAUCACGCAGAACCCCGAUUGCGAAGGCAGCCUGCCAAGCCAUGACUGACGCUGAUGCACGAAAGCGUGGGGAUCAAACAGGAUUAGAUACCCUGGUAGUCCACGCAGUAAACGAUGAUCACUAGCUGUUUGCGAUACAGUGUAAGCGGCACAGCGAAAGCGUUAAGUGAUCCACCUGGGGAGUACGCCGGCAACGGUGAAACUCAAAGGAAUUGACGGGGGCCCGCACAAGCGGAGGAACAUGUGGUUUAAUUCGAUGAUACGCGAGGAACCUUACCCGGGUUUGAACGCAUUUCGACCGCUCUGGAAACAGAGCCUCUAGCAAUAGCGAUUUGCGAGGUGCUGCAUGGUUGUCGUCAGCUCGUGCCGUGAGGUGUCGGCUUAAGUGCCAUAACGAGCGCAACCCUUGCCACUAGUUACUAACAGGUAAAGCUGAGGACUCUGGUGGGACUGCCAGCGUAAGCUGCGAGGAAGGCGGGGAUGACGUCAAAUCAGCACGGCCCUUACAUCCGGGGCGACACACGUGUUACAAUGGCGUGGACAAAGGGAUGCCACCUGGCGACAGGGAGCGAAUCCCCAAACCACGUCUCAGUUCGGAUCGGAGUCUGCAACCCGACUCCGUGAAGCUGGAUUCGCUAGUAAUCGCGCAUCAGCCAUGGCGCGGUGAAUACGUUCCCGGGCCUUGUACACACCGCCCGUCAAGCCAUGGGAGCCGGGGGUACCUGAAGUCCGUAACCGAAAGGAUCGGCCUAGGGUAAAACUGGUGACUGGGGCUAAGUCGUAACAAGGUAGCCGUACCGGAAGGUGCGGCUG
rnacentral:rRNA from 1 species